rnacentral:rRNA from 1 species
GUGGGGAAUCUUCCGCAAUGGACGAAAGUCUGACGGAGCAACGCCGCGUGAGUGAUGAAGGUCUUCGGAUUGUAAAGCUCUGUUAAUCGGGACGAAAGAGCCUAGUGUGAAUAAUGCUAGGAAGUGACGGUACCGGAAUAGAAAGCCACGGCUAACUACGUGCCAGCAGCCGCGGUAAUACGUAGGUGGCAAGCGUUGUCCGGAAUUAUUUGGCGUAAAGCGCGCGCAGGCGGAUCUGCCAGUCUGUCUUAAAAGUUCGGGGCUUAACCCCGUGAUGGGAUGGAAACUACAGAUCUAGAGUAUCGGAGAGGAAAGUGGAAUUCCUAGUGUAGCGGUGAAAUGCGUAGAUAUUAGGAAGAACACCAGUGGCGAAGGCGACUUUCUGGACGAAAACUGACGCUGAGGCGCGAAAGCCAGGGGAGCGAACGGGAUUAGAUACCCGGGUAGUCC